GGAUGAGGAGGAAGGAUGGGUGGGAGAAAAGUUUGAGGGAGGAGGAGGAGACUGGAACAAGGAGACUGUAAUGGAAAGGACAAGAGACGGGAGGAGACUGGAAGAAGAGCUUUCGAGAGAACAUGGAGGCUGAUGUUAAGGUUCCAUGCUGUACCUUCACAGAAAUAGUGGUGAUCCCGGAUCGCUGAAGAUAACAGCUAUACAACUUAUCGAACAUGAAGAAAUCAAACUAGUGCCUGCCCUUACUGACGAGUGUUCAUGUUACUGGAAGCUACUCUUCACCCUACCAAAGGACAAAGUGUGACAAUUGAGCCUCCUAUCUCCUACGUGGUAGUCAAGCAUCACAUCCCUGGGGGACAGCUCCACUCCCGGGUGCUUAGGUGUGUUGCAAUCACUGAGACACCUGCGGGCAAGAGGCAAGUCUACCAGGGCCAUUUAGUCUUAGGCGCCCCUCCCCCACACAUUUCUACUUCCGCAUCUUCCCCCGCCUGAAAUUAAGAACUGUAUUACCUCACAACUGUUCUAAGAUUUGUAUUUGGAUCACGGGUUUUCCAACCCUGACAACUAAAAUAUGCAUUUUUUUGAGUCUCCAAA